rnacentral:rRNA from 1 species
AUGGCCGCCGCCGGCGCCGCAACCACCGUCGACCUCCAUCUACAGCGGUUGGCUCCGAAUCGCAGCACAGCUCACGUAAAGAGUCAGGUCCACCGAAUCUCCACCGUGCCCGCCAUUGAUCUGCAGUUUUCCAUGGUGUGGAUCGAAGCCGCUAGGGUUCAGGUGAGGGGGCGAUUUGGGGAAGAGAGAGCUAGGGUUAGGGUCGAGCGAGAGAAAGAGCACAGAGAGAGAGAGAGAGUGAAGCGAAGAGACAUGGAUCAAUCGUACACUUAUCUUCAUUGGUCCUUGUGCCACAAUACAUUUGUGCAGUACCUUGACGACGCCUUCGCCGGCAACGGCACCUCCAUCCUCCCCACCAACCCCUACAGCCGCGCCGUCGCCCGCUUUUGGGCUUCCUACAUCGACGACAAGGACCUGGCUAGCAUGCGAUGCACACGCACUAACGAACUACCCUACAAGGCGACUAACAAACUAAUCCAUGCAGCUAACAUACUCUCAUGCUCUACGGACUUUGACUGUGGCAGCCGCUUCACACGGCCCUCCGGCAUCUCACACGUAGUCACGUACGCCGUCUCUCACGGCAUGUCCAAUUAUGUACAGUCAGCCGUCCGUAACAUCAGCCACUUGUUCCCUUCAUGCAUCGGCAUUCUCAAGACGGCAAAGCAGCAGGAGAGAGCUGACAAGGUGGAGGAGACCUUGGCGGCGUUCGGGCUCUUAGAGGCCGCCCUGGCGGAGUGCUCCAAAGAAGGGGAGGCUGAGGCACUGUUCUUUGGCGGUGGCUCUCUCAGGCUGCUCGACAUUGCCCUCGGGUGCUAUCUUCCCUGGAUCGAAGCGAUAGGCCACCUUGCCGCCAUGCCGCCAUUCCUCGAUGCGGCUAGGACACCAAAGCUGGCCGCGUGGGCGGAGCGGUUCAGGGCCGCCGAGCCGGUAAGGGCGCUGCUGCCUGCGGCGGACAAGGUGGAGGAGUACAUCUCAACGGUUCUUUAUCCAAAGUGGAACGCCGCACUCACUGCGUCGGCAACUAAUUAG